GAUCCUGUGAGGGGAGUGGGGGUGGGGUUGUCACCUGACCAGAACUUCCCAAGGGUACCGUUUUCCAGAUGGAAUGUGCACAUCUCCUCUCUGUCACAUCCCACUGUCCCUGUAGCCUUUUCUUGUUGAUAUGAACAGUAGCCAGAGGAACCUCUCAGUUCCAUGAGCACAUAAGCUUGGUGCCUUUUUAACCCAACACAGGUAGAUGCUGACUGUACAAGACCACUAGUAGGCUGUGUCAAUGCCACUGAGAAGCAGAAACUUGUCCAAUGAGGCCCAUCUGUUCAUCCAGAACACAUUUCCCUCCUGACUACCUCCACCCUCGUAACACCCGUCCUAAGAAGAUUUUGUACAUGAAGCUGGGAAUAAAGGCUUUCCCCUAUUCUGUCAUUAUUUAAAAAAGAACAUUUCUAUAAAACCAACAGCUACCCAAUAGUUCAUAUUCAGAAUUAUAAGUCUGCUUCUACACUAAGGAAGCAAAGAGUGAAAAAUAAAGAUCUACUAUACAUCCAACAAUUACCAUCUCACGGAGAGGAGCCAACCAGUCUGUCACAUGGCCAAAACCUGAUCUAUAACCUAUCUCUGCCAAAGACUCCGACAGUGGGUAAACUCUGUUUUACCAGGAUUCAAGUGGGCUCACUGACUUACCAAAAAGGCCUCUUAUAAAAACGUGGAGGAGCUAAAGCCAAACCCAGAGGCCUAGAGGUUGUUCGCUUCCCUUCUCCUGGAAGCCCUCGCCAAAUAGCAGCAAAACCAUGAUCUCCUUAAUCAGGAAGGAAAGCAAAACCAACAGGUCCUUCUAUGCAAGCUACUCCUGAUGGAUGAAGAAGAUCUGAAAGGCCAAAUCAAAAGACCCUGUGGAAACUUUAUAAAACCUUGAAGGAAGACUAUUAUGUUACUCCUUCCAACAAAACAGCUGCUCUAAAAGAUAUCUGUAAAGUAGCACAGAUAAGCCCCGAACUUACCUGCCUUGGCAAAAAUAAAAAGAACACACUGAAAUCUUCUUGGGUGACUGAGGAUCAUGAGGUUGUCAGAGUCAUCCCAACCUUCACUUCUGACUAUAUGUGUGAGUGAGAUGGCAGCAGGAUUAUAAGAGGCACCAGAAAGUAAUAAGUCAAAAAUCAAGAGCUGCUUUAUGCUGGUGAUUAUAAGUGACCAAGGCUGCCCUUUGUUUUGUCACUUUACUACAAAGCACUCACUAAACAAGCACUGGAGACCCAUGCACAAGACUGUGCUGCUGGGCCUUGUGCACCACACCUAGGACUCACCGUGUUUACACUUGGAGCAUUGCUGUCAGAGGGAAACAGAAGAGAACAUGUUAAGGGCACGCUGACCAAAGGCUCCAUGGCACAUAUGCAAAGGGUACAGGCUUCUGCUCACCAUGUGAUUGCAGCCUCCGUUCUUCUCAAUGCAGAUGUUACACUUUGGACACUGAGGAGACAGAAGGGCGCCAUUAGGCUCACACACCACCAGGCUGGUUCUAAGACAAAUUACACAAAGCUCUUGGCACCCGUGCCCAGCAGCUCAUCGUGCGAGCCCUUCUGGGGAGGAGCAUCUCACUUAAAUGUGGCGGGUCGCUGAGGCUGGAACAGCAAUUCAAGGAAAUGAGGUCAGCACGUUUGGCUCUGAAACACUCCAAGCACUGGCUGAGCCCCACUAAGUCUUCCACCAUCUGUCUCUGCCACGAGGCUGCUCAGAUUAAGCACAAGCUGAGUCAGCACAAUGUCUUCCUGCUUGGAAAGAAUGCCAAGCAGCACAAGAGCUGCCACACCAGACCACGUCCUGUUCAGCUUGCCUGGACUUCUGCCUCAACGAGAGAGCAAGGAAACAACCUCUAAAGCUCACCUGCUCUCAUAUGAGAGGUGCCACAACGUAGGCAGCAAUGCAGAGACCAGUCUGACGCUCUGCUCUCCCAUUGCCACGAAGUAGACUAUGUUUAAUGUCACAGUCACAGCUGUGUUGUGAGUGCAGCAACUCAGCGCAUGACUGGCAUAGGGUAGGUGCCAAGUCACCCAGGGUUCAAGGGGCUGAGGGCCAUGUUUUCCCAUGGGAAGUUUCAGAAUGAGAACUGGGCAUGCCCAGGCUUGCAUGAAAGCCUCGCUCUUUAUUAUGUGUUGCUAUCAACCACCUCCUGCCCAGGGCUAUUAAAGGCUGGGAGGCAUUAAAGCAAAAUCUGGUUUUCUUCUAAUUAGUUCUUCUACUGGUCAAACUUUUCCAGGUAGGUCAGCAUUUUAUUAAAAUAAAUGCAUCCAACGCAUACUAUGAUAAUCCGCUGCCAACUCUGCCAAGUCUGGGAAAGGGUCUGCAGACUUCAGCAAGGGUCCUGGGGCCCUGGGUGUUCCGCACUCAAAAAGCCAGCCAGCCUCCCAGGCGAGGACCUAGGCAGCAUUAAGGAGGGCAGAUCCAUGACAGGUAAGAUACAGUCCUUACAUCUUUAGUGUGAGCACUAAUGUAGUUGGCUGUUUCGGAAUCAUCUGCACACUUCGUGAGCCAUUUCCGGAUUGUGGCGCAGUCUGUGGGGGCGUGAUACAUCUGACGACACUUGAAACUUAAAACCAGAAAAGAAAGACAUUUAAAUAAUUGUUAGGCCAGGGUCCUAUGUUUUCAAUUUUCCUUCUGUCCAAGCCAAAAGAUACUGAAUUAGAGCUUUUCAAAGAAGUAAAGUUACCUCUCAAGGCCUUUGGGAUCUUUACUUACCCAGAAUUAUACUUAAAAUAUUGUAUGAAUUUCUCUUCAAUCUAAGCACUUCUAAGAUAUACUCUCAAUACACCCAAAUAAAACGUUUCUGUCUUAAA